GUAUUGAAGCAGUGUUCUAAAUGUAAAAUGACUGACAUUUUAUUUUAAUGUGUAGAUUGUCUUUGAGAACUGCUCACCCGUGGAGAUUGCAGUGGCAAAGUGUUCCUGUGUAGCUGGAACAGCACUCUGCAACCACAAUGUUGCACUGCUGUUCCAGACCGCACACUACUCCACACUCAACCUGGCUGCUGUACCCCCUGUCCUCAGCUGCACUGAAACAGAGCAGCGAUGGCACAAGCCAAGAACCAUGGGUGUGAAACCAGGCAGAGUGAGUGACAUGGUGUUCAUUUCCACUAAGCCAAAGCAGUUUACAGUUGCUGACGGUGUAAGGAGUACACGUUACAAGGCCGUGCGGGGGGAGCUGCCAGACCCA